UGUGUGUGUUGUAAUCCGAGCUUCUUUGUGCUUUGUUGACAUAGCCGGGCUGGCUGUGGGUUUCCUUUAGUGCAUGUGAGCUUGCCCCACUGGCCAGCUCAUGGCCGCCACUCUGCACUGCGCUCAUAUGGCGGUUACAGCUGAUAACGCCGUCCCGACCGACGGUGCCGUUGCAGAAGCAUAACACCCAACCUCCUAAGAUUUAACAA